rnacentral:rRNA from 1 species
UGCAGUCGAACGGAGAUACCAGAGGAAGCUUGCUCCACCGGUAUCUUAGUGGCGGACGGGUGAGUAACACGUGAGCAACCUGCCUUUCAGAGAGGGAUAACGUUUGGAAACGAACGCUAAUACCACAUAACAUCACGAUACGGCAUCGUAUUGUGAUCAAAGGAGCAAUCCGCUGAGAGAUGGGCUCGCGUCCGAUUAGAUAGUUGGUGAGGUAACGGCUCACCAAGUCGACGAUCGGUAGCCGGACUGAGAGGUUGAACGGCCACAUUGGGACUGAGACACGGCCCAGACUCCUACGGGAGGCAGCAGUGGGGAAUAUUGCACAAUGGGGGAAACCCUGAUGCAGCGACGCCGCGUGAGGGAAGAAGGUUUUCGGAUUGUAAACCUCUGUCUUUGGUGACGAUAAUGACGGUAGCCAAAGAGGAAGCUACGGCUAACUACGUGCCAGCAGCCGCGGUAAUACGUAGGUGGCAAGCGUUGUCCGGAAUUACUGGGUGUAAAGGGAGCGUAGGCGGGAAGACAAGUUGAAUGUUUAAACUAUCGGCUUAACCGGUAGUCGCGUUCAAAACUGUUUUUCUGGAGUGAAGUAGAGGCAGGCGGAAUUCCUAGUGUAGCGGUGAAAUGCGUAGAUAUUAGGAGGAACACCAGUGGCGAAGGCGGCCUGCUGGGCUUUAACUGACGCUGAGGCUCGAAAGCGUGGGUAGCAAACAGGAUUAGAUACCCUGGUAGUCCCACGCUGUAAACGAUGAUUACUAGGUGUGGGGGGACUGACCCCUUCCGUGUCCGCAGUUAACACAAUAAGUAAUCCACCUGGG